rnacentral:rRNA from 1 species
UUGGUAGGAAGGUACCAAAGUAAUCCCAGCAAGGAACACUGGACAGCGGUCAAGAAUAUCCUGAAGUACCUGAAAAGGACUAAGGAAAUGUUUCUCGUUUAUGGAGGUGACGAAGAGCUCGUCGUAAAGGGUUACAUCGAUGCUAGCUUCGACACAGAUCUGGAUGACUCUAAGUCACAAACCGGAUACGUGUAUAUUUUGAAUGGUGGGGCAGUAAGCUGGUGUAGUUGCAAGCAAAGCGUCGUGGCGGGAUCUACAUGUGAAGCGGAGUACAUGGCAGCCUCGGAGGCAGCACAUGAAGCAAUAUGGGUGAAGGAGUUCAUCACCGACCUAGGAGUCAUACCCAAUGCGUCGGGGCCGAUCAAGCUCUUCUGUGACAACACUGGAGCUAUUGCACUUGCCAGGGAGCCCAGGUUUCACAAGAAGACAAGGCACAUCAAGCGUCGCUUCAACUCCAUUCGUGAAAAUGUUCAAGAUGGAGACAUAGAGAUUUGUAAAGUACAUACGGACCUGAAUGUAGCAGAUCCGUUGACUAAACCUCUCCCUAGAGCAAAACAUGAUCAACACCAGAAUUCCAUGGGUGUUCGA